GGCCAGACUCCUACGGGAGGCAGCAGUGGGGAAUAUUGCACAAUGGGGGAAACCCUGAUGCAGCGACGCCGCGUGAGCGAUGAAGUAUUUCGGUAUGUAAAGCUCUAUCAGCAGGGAAGAAGAUGACGGUACCUGACUAAGAAGCCCCGGCUAACUACGUGCCAGCAGCCGCGGUAAUACGUAGGGGGCAAGCGUUAUCCGGAUUUACUGGGUGUAAAGGGAGCGUAGACGGCGAUGCAAGCCAGAUGUGAAAGCCCGGGGCUCAACCCCGGGACUGCUUUGGAAACUGUGCUGCUGGAGUGCAGGAGAGGCAAGUGGAAUUCCUAGUGUAGCGGUGAAAUGCGUAGAUAUCAGGAGGAACACCGGCGGCGAAGGCGGCCUGCUGGACCGUAACUGACGUUGAGGUGCGAAAGCGUGGGUAGCAAACAGGAUUAGAUACCCCAGUAC
rnacentral:rRNA from 1 species